UGAGGCGUUGAGCUAACCUGUACUAAUUGCCCGUGAGGCUUAACCAUACAACACCCAAGGGGUUUUGUA
rnacentral:rRNA from 1 species